GACAUUGUGUGUGCGCUGCAGCUGUGCCUGGUACCUUGCGUUGCCUUCCAGCAUGAAUCGAAGGUGGGGGCUGUUUCCUUCCACCUUCUAAAUCUCACGUAAAAUGUCUCUUGUGGCCCACAGGAGUUUAGAACUAUUCAAGGAGGAGUAUCCUGGCAAGAACAGUUCCAGUGAGCUGAGUCGACGCAAAACAAAGCCACCAUAGUAUCUAUUGUUAUUAAGAAUUCUUCCCAGUUCUCUUAAUCCCUCAGCUUGUUCUGAUACCUUGGAUGCAGUUACCAUUCCAGUUUCUCACGGUGCUGGAGCACAGAGUGCAAUUCCCUGCUCUUCAGCUUAUCUCUAAAUCAAUCAGCCACGGUGAUUUUGCCCCGAGGGGACAUUGGCAAUGUCUGGGGACAUUUGGGGCUGUCCAGACAUGGGGAGAGUGCUACUGGCAUCUAGUGAGUAGACUGGGAAUGCUAAAUAUUGAAUAACACACAGAGCAGCCAUCCCACAGCAAACAGUCUUCCAGGUCAAAAUGUCAACAGUCUGUGACUGAGAAAGCCUGGUGUGCAGUGCUCUUCUGUCCCUAAUGUUUCUGAGGAAGAAAUACUCGCUUUUUUUCUAAAGUCAGUUCUUUACCUUUGCUUUUUUUGUUCUCCUCACUUUCAACUCUUUAAGAACCCCAUUCAGUCUCCUCUCUUAGUUUUUACCUCACAGGCUUAACAGAUUUAACAGAUUAAAACAAUCGCAUGUGCUUUCCCCUUAGCUCUUGGAAAUUACCAUGCACUUACUACCUCUCUUUCUUUAAUUAGCAAACCCUCUAAUUGAAUGAUCCAUGUUGGUUACUCAUUUCCUCCAUACCUCUAGCCAUCUGGUGCCUCUUAGCAAAACUUUUUUAAGUUGGUAAUGAGCUUAUUCUGGCCAAAUUUGUGGAUUUUUUUUUUAAAAAGAAAAAUUAAUUGACUUUCCAGUCCAUUUCAUUUCAUUUCCUGUAUAUGCUAUCUUUAAAUUCUCUCUCUUAUCCUCCACUGGAAUCGCCAUGUCAAACUUCUAUCCCCAGUAUUCUCACAUGUUCUCUAGUCAACAUCCCCAGUGCUUCCAGGCUGCUAAAUCCCGUGAACACGUCUCAUCCUCUCCUUACUCACCUCUUUAGCAGUUCUUGAGACUUUUGUGAUUACUCCUUCCUUGAAACACUUUCCUCACUUGAUUAGCAGAACUCUACACACUCCUGGUUUUUCUCCAACCCCACUCCUUCUCAGUCUUCUCUGCUGCUCCCUCAUCCUCUUCUUGCCCUUUUAAUUUUGCAGGCUCCCGUGAUUCAGGUUUUAAACCUGUUCUAUUUUGUAUCUACAGUUCCUUCCCAAAGACCUCCUCCAGUAGUAUUACAGCUUUAGGUGUUAUCUCUAUAUUUAGGACUCCAGAUUUAUAGCAUCUGGACGCAGAUGCGGAUCUCUGGACUCCUAUAGUCGAUUACCUUUCCGGACUCUCCACUGGCUUUUCCAAAUGGAAACAUCAAUCUCUUAUGCUAAAAACUGAGCUCCUGGUAUUUUCCUAUAUCUCAGGAAACGUCGUCUUUAUCCUGUCAAUUACCCAGACCCAAUGCUUUAAAACAAUCAAGUCUUCUCUCUCACAAAGUUUAUACAUUGAGUCAGAAAAUAGCAUCAGUUCUGUCUCCAACAUACAUUUGGAUCCAACCACUUUUCAUCACCGCUAGUGCUGGACCACCAUGGGUACGUCCCGGACCAGUGCACCAGUAUCUCUCACCAAGAUCAUCCAGUCUCCCGCUUGUGCUCCCCUUCACUCAAGCUUGGUCUCUUCCACACGGACAAAACCUUCUUCAUCCAUACCUCUGGCCUUCGGAGUAUGCUUUUCUAAUAGUGAAUCUCCUCAUUAAAAAAAUUUUUUUUUAAAUUUAAAGUGUAGUUCAUUUACAGUGUUGUGCCAGUUUCUGCUGUGCACCAAAGUGUCUCAUUUUCACAUCUUCUGCAAUGGGGAUAGUCUGGGAGUUUCCAAAAUCUUCAAGUCCUGCUUCCUUUUGGCUUGAUGAUUCUUUUCUCAGUAGGUCUCUUUGCUCUAGCAUUUUAGUAUAAGCAGCAAGAAGAAGCCAGGCUCUAUCUUCAGUGCUUUGCUGGGAAUUCUCCUCGGCUAAAUACCUGAAUCCAUCACUCACACGUUCUGUUUCCUACGGAACUGUAGGUCACAAUUCAGUGAAACUCUCUGCUACUGUAUAGUGAGUAUUUCUUGUUUUCCAUUUUCCACUAGGAUGUUUCUCAUUUGCUUCUGAGACUCUUAAGUGCCACCUUUAAUGUUCACAGUUCUGCCAAUAUUCUGUUUAUGACCAUACACAUGUUCUCCAAGAUAAUAAAGACUUCCUCUCUUGUGCUUCUCCCUUCUUUCUGAGCUCUCACCAGCAUUGUCCGUAAUGUUUAUAUUUCUAUCGAUAGUCUCUUUAAAGCAAUGUAGGCUUUAUCUACCAUGUGCCUCAAAAUUCUUAUACCCUUCAUCCAUUACCAAUUCCAAAGCCACUUCCACAUUUUCAGGUAUUUGUUAUAGCAGUUCCCCUCUCCUUGGUACCAAAAUCAGUAGUGGUUUCCUGUGGCUGCUGAAACAAGUUACAAUAGACUUGGUGGCUUAAAACAACCUAAAUUUAUUCUCUUGUAAUUCUGGAGGUCAGAAGUCAGAAAUAAGUAUCAUUGGGUCAAAAUCAAGGUGUCAUCUGGGCUGUUCUCACCCGGGAGGCCUUGGGGGAGGAUAAUUUCCUUGUCUCUGUCAGCUUCUAGCGGAUAUUGGUAAUCCUUGGCUUAUGGCUUCGUCACUCUAGACCUCAAGGCCAAGGUCUUCGAACCUCUGGUAGCUCUGUCUUUGCAUUGCCUUUUUCUCUCUGUGGGUGAAUCUCCCUCUGCCUCCGCUUUCCUUGGCUGAGGGCAGCUGGCAAACACAGAUGAUCUGCAACAUACACCAACCCAGCUUUUAAACUCUCCUACCCAUUGUUUUGGUGGAGUUGAGUUCAGACUAUCUGUCUUCCCUGUUUCCAUAGUCUUGAAAAAAUUCCUCCUUACCUGCCUAACUUUGGUGCAGUUUUGGCUUUGACAGUGGUUUACUCACCAGCACACUUAAAUGAUUUCCAUCACGUACUAACCAGCACAUUUUAUUUCCAUCAAGCCUCUCCAAUAUGAAUGUAAAUGUGAUGUUACUUUUAGAGAAAAUUAUUAAAUAACUCUUUAUUUUCAUUCCUCCUAAAUUAUGGCAUGUUAAUGCUUAAGAAAAGCAUGAGAGAAAUGAGUCUUGAUCCCUCUUGCUGGAUAUGUCCUCUUUCAUCAUCUCAUUUUUAUAAAUUCCCUGAUCAAUAACCUUGUUAUGCUUAUUUUUUCUCAUUUGCAGCUGUUAAAUUGUGAUUUUAAAAAAGAUAAAAGCGUGACUUCCAUGAAAAUAUAAAAUAAGAUUUCAUUUAACUCACGAAUGAAUGAGGAAGUCAAGUAGAUGUUUUAUCAGAUUCAAAAGAAUAUCCUGGCUUCUCCACAGUGAAGGAGGGAGGUUGAUUAACUCUGGACAGAGCAGAUUUGCAUAUCUAUAUAUAAGAAUUAUUUUUCAUUGCUAUCAGUUAUCUAUAAUUUGCAGAGAUACAGAAUAACUGCCAUAGAAUCAUAAGCAGAUAAAAUGGAGAUGUGGUGUAGAAAAUGCAUAGUUUUUCCUUUGAAGCACAAUUUUUUUCCUCCAGAGUCUUGAUUCAUUUUUUUACUGUUGAUGCAGAGUUGUGGUAUGAAAGUUCUGGAGAACUAUGAAAAUUUCUUAGCAUUAGGGUUUGGGUAACUGUUUUAUUCAUAAUAAGAAAGGGAUACAAGGUUAGAGUAUUUUCAAUAGAAGCAGCCAAUGAGCCUGAGAAAGGAUUUAGUGAAAGGACUGUUACAUUAAAGGAGCAUGAAGUCAGACUCUCAAGAUGGAAGGAGCUUCAGCUUUUGUGCUACUGACAGACACAUAAGGAGGGAGAAAAAGUCAAUUUGAUCAGAGUGCACAUGAUUUUUUUAUGUUUGAAAUAGAAUUGGCCUGACGGAUAGCCCAUGAGCCCUUUGAACCUCUGCAGUGUGCUUCUGCUUAUAGACACCUAGGACCAAGAUAAUUGAGCCAGACAGUCCUGGGAUGAGUCUGCAAAAGCUUGGGCAGGAGGUGUGCUCGAAAGGGAAAUUGAGUGGGCAUGAGACGAAAGGGGUGUUAAACUGUUUGGUGGUUCAUUAUGACCCCCAAAGUCAUCAAUGCCACGUUUCAUCAGCCCUGAGUGAUCUUUGCCUCAGUUUGGUGUACAACGUUGUGUGCCAUAGAGUAGUUAUUGUUAGAUGUCCUCACAUCUUAGGGACAAUAGGAACAAUAUGCAAAUUAGCCAUGGGUAAUGUUCCUAGCCAUGUACAAUUACGGGUAUUUAAAAUUUUUAGAUGCAAAUUAAACCCAGAGUUCCUUGCGGAUAGUGCCAAUUUUCCUCCAAAUAACAUGUUGCAGAGAUAGGAUAAUUCACCAUAAGCGUCUGUACCAGCAAUAGUAGCUUGGCACAUAUGUAGAUGCUAUUCAGUCACUGUGUAUGGUAUUGACUGAUUUGAAAAGCAUCCAAGGAGAGUUUUAAUUUUUCUAUGAUUAAAAAAAAAACAUUUGAUGCUCAGUUAUUGAAAAAGAAGUGCUGACUUCAGAGCGAUGGUGUAACAUUGUGUUACUAACAUGUGUGUUCAUUCUACCUUCAUUUUCCUUCGUGUUCCUAUAUAUUGGAUGUUGUUUACAUCCUCUCCUUACAGGGGAACCAAAACAUAGAAUUCAGGAACACAUCAGUAGCAUAAAUGUAAAUAAACUUGCACAUGUCAUUGGAAAAAAAAAAAAAAACUCAGCCUGGGGAAAUCUUUCUGCUCUACGAUAGGAACAGGGUUACCUAGAACCUCGUAGUCUCCAGCUGUGUUUGUAAUUAUAUAUAUAAUGUAUUUUGAUUGCUAAGCAAUAGGCCUAUGGAAUCAAGCAACAUGGAAAUAAAACACACUGACCUCUUUGAUUACAGAGACGCUACAAACUAUUUCUCAUAAACCACUAGGAUAUCCAGAACAGUGCUUUCAAAGUCAGUAUUCAGUAGUGCUUUCUUUCUACUCUUUCUUCUCCUGCUCUUCCUUGUUUGGAUGUGAGUUUGUGGAGAGUGGAAGAGGAGACAACACAGUACAGAAUAAGAAUUAAAAAAACAUAAUACAGUGUGAAAUAUUGGAGGAGAACAUUUUAAAUCUGCAAAUGAUUCUUUAUCUGAAUUUGAAUUAUAGAACUCCUAGAAUUUCUAUAAUUUUUAUUGGCAAAUGGUUUUCAGAUAUUCAAGAAGGAAGAAAUAUAUUUUCCAUGUGUUUUCCAUAGAGAAUUUCAUGAAGAAAAUAAGUAGUUGAUUUAAUUUUUAUUUAUUCAAUUUUUAAUUUUUAGUGGUGUUUUCAAAUUUAAUAUUAAAAAUUUGUGUUACUUUAAAAAUUGAAGUAUAGGUUAUAUAGUAUUUUAUGUUACAUGUGUACAAUAUAGUGACUCAUAAUUUUUAAAGGUUACACUCAUUUAUAGUUAUUAUAAAAUGUUUUCUGUAUUCCCUGUCUUGUACCGUAUAUGUUUGUAGCUUAUUUUAUACCUAAUAGUUUUGACCUCUUAAUCUCUUACCCCUAUAUUGCCAUCCUCCCCUAACCCCGGUAAUCAUUCAUUUGUUCUCUAUAUCUGUGAGUCUGCUUCCUUUUUGCUAUAUUCACUAGUUUGUUGGAUUUUUUGAUUCUACUUAUAAGUGAUAACAUACAAUAUUUGUCUUUCUCUGACUUACUUCACUUUGCAUAAUGCCCUCCAAGUCCAUCCAUAGUACUACAAAUGGAGAAUUUUCAUUCUUUUUUCUAUGGCUGAGUACUCUUCCAUUGCGUAUACAUAUACCAUACAUAUCUGUCUCACAUCGUCUUUAUACAUUCAUCUGUUGAUGGACUUAAAAGUGUUAUGGUGUCCUCAAAAGGCAAUGGUAUUGGGUAGAGAAUAGACUUAGCAUAGGGAAUAUGUUUCUUUUUCUUUCUUUCUGCAUGCACCUGUAGCAUGUGGAAGUUCCACAGCCAGGGAUUGAACCCGUCCUUAACCAUCUGCGCUACAGGGGAACUCCCUCUUUUUUCUUUUUAAAUCUUGCUUCUUCUUAGCAUGGAAUCUGUGUGGUAUUUCAUAAUUAUCAAAGCUCAGACCAUCGAACAAGAAACAUAUGCUAUACAGGAGUUCCCGUCGUGGCUCAGUGGUUGACGAAUCUGACUAGGAACUAUGAGGUUGCAGGUUCGAUCCCUGGCCUUGCUCAGUGGGUUAAGAAUCCAGCGUUGCCGUGAGCUGUGGUGUAGGUUGCAGACGCGGCUCAGAUCCCGCGUUGCUGUGGCUUUGGCAUAGGCCAGCGGCUACAGCUCUGAUUAGACCCCUAGCCUGGGAACCUCCAUAUGCCGCGGGAGCGGCCCAAGAAAUAGCAAGAAAAUGGCAAAAAGACAAGAGGACAAAAAAAAAAAAAAAAAAAAAAAAAAAAAA
rnacentral:lncRNA from 1 species